rnacentral:lncRNA from 1 species
GCAGGGUCUCAGUCUGGCCUUGAAGUCAUAUGGAGCCCAGGUCGGCCUUGAACUCACAGCAAUCCUCCUGCCUCAGCCUCCUGAGUGGUGGGAUCACAGCACCACAGGCCCGCAGGAAGCCCCUCAGGAAGCAGCUCAUCUUUCUCCACACUGCUGUUCUCACGGUAGAAUUCACAGCCAAAGUGCCUGAAGCCCCAGCUCCUUCCAUUAUGCUCCUUCUCAACAUUCAAGAACAGAAUUGUCUUUUGUGCUAAAUAAUCCACUGCUUCUUCCUGAUUGAGGGUAACAUCAGCACUGCUGGAUUCUUCUGCAGUUUUGUGUCUUACAGGGCAGUGGGGUGCAUGCAGUGGCAUUAGGCAAGCCCACAUUUCUCUAUAACAGGAGCAGUUGCUUCCUCCACAUGCCAUUAUCCAAACCACCACUGACAACAACCAGGCUCUUUGUGCCUCAGCAAUGUAUGCCUGGUUUUAAUCUAUUUCCUUAAGAACUCAAUUUUACCGGGCGUGGUGGUGCACACCUCUAAUCCAAGUACGCAAGAGGCUGAGGCAGGAGGAUCGCCAUGAGUUUGAGGCCAGUCUGGACUACACAGUGAGAUCCUGUCUCCAAAACACACACACACACACACACACACACACACACACACACACACAAUGAAGAACUUCUGAUUUUUAUUGUUUAUUUAUUUAUUUUGAGAUAGUGUCUUGCUAUGUAGUUCAGGCUGUCCUUGAACUCACUGUGUAUGUAGCUCAGGCUAGCCUGCAACUUGUGGUGAUCCUCCUACCUCAGCCUCCUAAGUGCUGGGAGUACAGACAUGCACCACCACACCUGGC